rnacentral:rRNA from 1 species
CCUACGGGUGGCAGCAGUGGGGAAUAUUGCACAAUGGGGGAAACUCUGAUGCAGCGACGCCGCGUGAGUGAAGCAGUAUUUCGGUAUGGAAAGCUGCAUUAGCACGAACGUGAACAGACGGUACCGGAUUAAGAAGCAACUGCUAACUACGUGCCAGCCGCCGAGGUACUUCGGAGGAGGCAAGCGUUAACCGAGUCUCCAGGGUAUAACGGGAGUGUAGGCGGUUGUGGAAGUCAGAAGUGAAAGGCUGGGGCACAACACCUGGAUCGAGUUGGGACCUGUUCGGCUAGAGUGUAGGUGAGGUAGGUGGAAUGGCUAGUGUAGCGGUGAAAUGCGUAGAUAUUAGGAAGAACACCAGUGGCGAAGGCGGCUUACCGGACUAUAACUGACGUUGAGGCUCGAAAGCGUGGGGAGCAAACAGGAUUAGAUACCCGUGUAGUC